AGCGAACGCUGGCGGCAGGCUUAACACAUGCAAGUCGAGCGGGCACUUCGGUGUCAGCGGCAGACGGGUGAGUAACACGUGGGAACGUACCCUUUGGUUCGGAAUAACGCUGGGAAACUAGCGCUAAUACCGGGUACGCCCUUUUGGGGAAAGGCUUGCUGCCGAAGGAUCGGCCCGCGUCUGAUUAGCUAGUUGGUGGGGUAAUGGCCUACCAAGGCGACGAUCAGUAGCUGGUCUGAGAGGAUGAUCAGCCACACUGGGACUGAGACACGGCCCAGACUCCUACGGGAGGCAGCAGUGGGGAAUAUUGGACAAUGGGCGCAAGCCUGAUCCAGCCAUGCCGCGUGAGUGAUGAAGGCCUUAGGGUUGUAAAGCUCUUUUGUCCGGGACGAUAAUGACGGUACCGGAAGAAUAAGCCCCGGCUAACUUCGUG
rnacentral:rRNA from 1 species